rnacentral:rRNA from 1 species
UACUCAACCCUUGUGACCUUACCGUCGUUGCCUCGGCGUGAGCUACGGCUACCCGGGAGCUACCCUGGAGCUACCCUAGAGUUACCCUAUAGCUACCCUGCAGCUACCCUAUACUUACCCUAUAGCUACCCUGCAGCUACCCUAUAGUUAGUUACCCUAGAGUUACCCUGGAGCUACCCUGUAGCCGGCUUAUGGCCCGCCGAAGGACAGCUAAACUCUUGUUUUUUUACUACUGUUUCUCUGAAUUACAAACUGAAAUAAGUUAAAACUUUCAACAACGGAUCUCUUGGUUCUGGCAUCGAUGAAGAACGCAGCGAAAUGCGAUAAGUAAUGUGAAUUGCAGAAUUCAGUGAAUCAUCGAAUCUUUGAACGCACAUUGCGCCCAUUAGUAUUCUAGUGGGCAUGCCUAUUCGAGCGUCAUUUCGACCCCUAAGCCCCUGUUGCUUAGCGUUGGGAAUCUACAGCGUAGUUCCUCAAAAUUAGUGGCGGAGUUAGGGUACACUCUCAGCGUAGUAAUUUCUCUCGCUCGUGUGGUGGCCUUGGCUGCUAGCCGUUAAAACCCCUAUAAUUUCUAGUGGUUGACCUCGGAUUAGGUAGGAAUACCCGCUGAACUUAAGCAUAUCAAUAAGCGGAGGAAGA